UACCGCGAAGCCAGUUCAGAAUGACCGAAGAAGCAUGCCAAACACGGAGUCAGAAACGAGCGCUUGAACUGGACCCAACGGAGGACGACGUGGAGAGCAAGAAAAUAAAAAUGGAGAGAGGAUUGUUGGCUUCAGAUUUAAACACUGACAAAGACAUGAAGGUGACACCUGAGCCGGGAGCGGGUCCAGCCCAAGGAUUGCUGAGGGCAACAGGGGCCACGACGGUGGCCGUCGGCAGAGGUGAAGGUCUGGUGGGUGAUGGACCCGUGGGCAUGCCCUCCUCAUACAGUGACAUGAAAUCUGAGACGAGACCCCCUCACCCGACGUGAUUGUACUCUCCCACAACGAGCAGCCCUCCAGCCCGAGAGAAUGCGCUGAUCAUGGUGGCCUUGAAGGAGACUAGCACCGAGGUUCUCAUGAAAAGCAACCCGAAAGAACGAGAAAGGAUGUUUAAGCAGCUGAAAGAAGAAUUGAGGUUAGAAGAAGCAAAACUCGUUUUGUUGAAAAAGUUGCGGCAGAGUCAAAUACGAAAGGAAGCCACCGCCCAGAAGCCCGCAGGUUCUGUCUGGAGCGCGGUGACCACCCCUCCGCCGCUUGUUUGGGGCACCCAGAACAUUCCUGCUGGCAAGCCAUCACUCCAGAUGUCUUCAGCUCGGAUGUUCGGCAGUGUCAUAUCCCCGCCCCAGGUCCGAGGUGGGCAGCAGGUGUCCUCGAAGCUGGGGCCGCAGGCAAACUCGCAGGUCGUCAUGUCCCCGCUCGUUAGGGGGCCCCAGCAAAUCCACAGCAUUAUGCAACAUUCCAGCACAGGCCCACCGCCCCUCCUUCUGGCCCCCCGGGGCAUCGGUGCCCAGUGUGCAGACUCAGGGACAGAGGAUCGUCCAGCAGGGUCUCAUCCACAUUGCCAGUGUUCCCAACACCAGCCUGCUCGUCAACAUCCCACAGCCCACCCCAGCAUCACUGAAGGGGACGACAGCCUCCUACGCUCAGGCCAACUCCACCCCAACUAGCGUGGUCUCUGUGGUCACUUCCACCGAGUCUUCAGCAAGCCGACAGGCGGCCGCCAAGCUGGUGCUGCGCAAACAGCUGGAGAAGACGCUACUCGAGAUGCCCCCCACCCGAGCCCCCAGCCCCAGAGAUGAACUUUCUGCCCAGCGCCCCCAACAAUGAGUUCAUCUACCUGGUCGGCCUGGAGGAGGUGGUGCAGAACCUACUGGAGACACAAGCGGGCAGGAUGUUGGCCGCCGCUGUGCUGUCCCAGGAGCCCUACAUGGGUGCACACUGCAAGGUGGACUUCACGUGCCACUGGCGGGAGGAGAAGAGCGGCGCCAUCAUGUGUGAGAACUGCAUGACGACCAACCAGAAGAAGGCGCUCAAGGUGGAGCACACCAGCCGGCUGAAGGCCGCCUUCGUGAAGGUGCUGCAGCAGGAGCAGGAGAUUGAGCAGCAGCUCCUGCAGCAGGGCACAGCCUCUGCUGCACAGGCCGAGGCCGAGGCCGAGGCCGCGGCCGCGGCCGCCGCCGCCGCCCCACAUCCCACGCGGAAGCAGGUCAUAAAACUCCGGCGUAGGUUGGCGUUCCACUCAGGAGAGGCCUGCGACUAGAGUAACGGGGCUGUGCCACAGGCCUUUAGCCUGCUGUCCCGGGGUUCGGCCAUGACGCCCCGAGGUGUCCUGCAUACGUUCAGUCCGCCACCCAAACUGCAGAACUCAGCCUUGGCCACAGGCCUGGUCAGCAGGACCGGCAGACAUUCCUAAUGAACCUGUCAAGGGCAGCGGCACCUCCAACUGGAAGAAGACGCCCCUCAGCACAGGCGGGACCCUUGCGUUUGUCAGCCCAAGCCUGGCGGUGCACAAGAGCUCCUCGGCCGUGGACCGCCAGCGAGAGUACCUCCUGGACAUGAUCCCACCCCGCUACAUCCCCCAGUCAGCCACGUGGAAAUAGUGCGAGCCAGGCCCCGUGGAAGACGGGCUCCCUCCUCCCCCACCUGGCCCCCAGUCUAGAAGGACCCACUGCACCACCCUCCGCUGGCUCGGGAAGACACCGUGCCAGUCCCAAGAGCAAGCACCGGCCGUGCUGCAGAGGCGAGACCUCAAUUCUUGGCUGCGAAGUUUCAUCAGGGCUGGGGGGCUGGUGCCACCUCAUAGGCAGACAAGGAUCAUCGCUGGGGGACCUUUCCCGUGGGCUUUCUUCCUUUCUCUCUUUGCCUUUAGUUUGCCCGACACCAGCAGAAAAGUGGACCUUGGGGGCUGGUUCUGCUCCCGGCCCCCUUGUUCGGCCCCUGCCGGCACACGGGCGGCUCACCCUGGACACUGUGACGCGCAUGGGCAAGGCCAGCGCCCGGGGCUUCUGAACCGAGCGGGGCGUUUCGUUUUGUUUUUGCUUUUCCCCGUCUUAGGCUCCCGAUCUUUGACUGCCUUCCCAUGGCGAUCUGUAAGUUGAAAGAUUUUUUUUUUUUUUCCUCAUGAUGAUGGAGUUAAAAGUAAACCGUGCAGACCCUGGGGUCUUUGUUGUGGGCUGCGCCGUCCUGCUGGCCCUGUGCCCUGGAGGGUGGGUGGCUCAUGGUGCCAUAGCCCCUGGCAGGGACGGCCGGCCAGCCCCGGUGACUGACGGACAGAUGCAGGAUGACCGAGGCAGCCCUCGCUCCGGCUGAACGCUUCCACUGCUGCUUGUUCUGGAGACCCCCGCCCCCGGACUUCCCAGACUUAGCAGAAGAACAAACUGAAGAACAGACCCAGCCAGAGAAGCAGGGAUUCCAGAAGCUGCCCACGAAGGGAGGAGGAGAGGAGAGGAUCCGGUCGGCAGCAGCCCCGAGCAGGAAGCUGGAGUGGGGACUAUUGCGAGGUUUUUCUGUUGUGGUUUAUUUUAUUAAAUCCUUUCCUUUUUUCUAUUCAUUUCGAUGGACGCAAUCUUAAGCCACCCUGGCCUAGUUCCUGGCAGGUGAAUGUGCACAGGUGUGUGCAGGUUGGGAGGCACCAUCCAGGUUUGCAGCGAGCCGCUGCGCACAGACUUCAGGUUUUCCGUUUGGGUCUAGUUUAGAACCUGUCCUUAAACCUAGGGGUUGCUGUCAGGAUUUGCUUUCAGACAUUUUUUUUUUUUUGUAACUCCCUUUAGAGUCUACAAAAAUGUUUUAAAAGGAUCAGGUCUGCUUUUAGUUUCAUUUUUGCUUCUUUCCUGUCCCACUCUUUAAAAAUUGGUUCUAUGAGAGGAAAGGCAGAAGCCAUUCUGUGUUUCCUGCACGCUGGGCCGGCUUCAUGACGGUGCAAGGGCGUCCCCGUGCCCACUUACAUGCGUGUGUCUCCGUGAGGACUGGGUUCCACCGGUCCCAGUUGAGCUCCAGCCCUGGUUUUCCUGCUCAUGCAAUUAGGGAUUUAAAUUAAAUUAAAUUUUUUUUUUUUUUUUGUAGGGCAGCCGCCUUCAAACACAACUGCUACAAGGUUCUUAUAAAGGCUCAUUUAAUCACCCACCCCCCCAAAAAAGAAAACAGUGUAUAAUUUUAGUCUUUUUAAAUUAUUUUGUUGUUGUUGUUUUGAGACAAGAUCUUACCGUC